GACUGAUUAGUCAGCCAGGGUCCCGCGCACACACACAGCUGCAUCGUUAUACGCCAGGCAAGCGUGGAUGACGUCGCCGCUAUUGCGACGUAGACACCGAGGUGCACGUGGUGAUCCUUCCACUUCGCCUAUUAUCAGCCCCAUUCCAAGGGGACUAUAUAUAGAACAGGUGACUUGCCACUCACUGUACUGGCGUCACCUCAAUACCAGGGAUACACUCAGCUAUACACUCUUUUGGAACACUAAGGACUCUAUUGCCAUUACCUAUUAUCCUUUCCAUGUAUAUGGAUUAAGGCCAUCUAGGUUGGCGAUCGUUUAGGCAGAUUUACCCAUCUGCUCAUUUAUGUCCGGUCUACUGCACUGUAUGUACUAGCUGAGUGUGUGAAUAUAUCCCUGGACUAGGUUCAUUGUUCAUUGCUUACCAGCAAUUGACUGCCAUACCACCGCAUGCAACUUUGUUUUGCAUCUUUAUGAUAAUACUCCCCUAACUGGUUGAAGUAAAAUUUCUCUGUGAAUUACAACCAACGAUAGGCUAACAAGAGACCGUUUGUUGAUUAUCACCAACGCGGGGUACCCCUUAAUGAGAUAUCUAUGCUCCUGAGGAAGCGCUAAUCCUAAAAGCGUGCAACAUGUCGAGCAAACCCUCCUGUUCCUCUGGAUAACCAUCUGGUCACUUGUGAUAUAACAUUUUUUAUAAUUAUGCUUUUUAUUUUAAGCUUUCUAUGUUAGAAUCAUACAAUGAAUGUGAACCGUGUGUGUGAAACCAGUUGUUAAUUUAAUUUCACUUUGUGAUUUUUUAUUUAUAACUGUUUUUAUGAUAUUUCUGUAUCCAUAAUAAAUUUUUUCUAGUUUUCUAUAUUAUUUGUAUCGUGUGCCUUUAAAGCCCAACCCACUAGUCUCUAGUUCAAUCCCAUCCCAUCAAAGCUAGGAAGUGUCUUGCUGACUGGCAGAGAUGAGAGUAAUAAUCCCUUGGCAAUCAAAAACAUAAAUGCACUGUAUAUGUAUUCCAAUUGUGUAUUUAGCCUAAAGUUCCACAUUAAACUGUAGUAAGAUAGACGAUUGUACUAAUUCUGUAAUUGCUCUUGCAAACAGCAUUCUACUAAAGCGCAUUAAAUGCUUACAACACUCAACUGUAUGAAAUUAAAGUCACAAUUCUAUA